UACGUAGGGUGCAAGCGUUAAUCGGAAUUACUGGGCGUAAAGCGUGCGCAGGCGGUUCGGAAAGAAAGAUGUGAAAUCCCAGAGCUUAACUUUGGAACUGCAUUUUUAACUACCGGGCCAGAGUGUGUCAGAGGGAGGUGGAAUUCCGCGUGUAGCAGUGAAAUGCGUAGAUAUGCGGAGGAACACCGAUGGCGAAGGCAGCCUCCUGGGAUAACACUGACGCUCAUGCACGAAAGCGUGGGGAGCAAACAGGAUUAGAUACCCUGGUAGUCCACGCCCUAAACUAUGUCAACUGGUUGUCGGGGAAGCAAUUCCUUGGUAACGAAGCUAACGCGUGAAGUUGACCUCCUGGGGAGUACGGCCG
rnacentral:rRNA from 1 species